AGCAGCCGCGGUAAUUCCAGCUCCAAUAGCGUAUAUUAAAGUUGUUGCAGUUAAAAAGCUCGUAGUUGAAUUUCGGGAUCAAGUCGUCGGUCGUGCCUCGGUACGCACUGGUGACAUUGGUUUCUCCCUUCUGAAGAACCUUGAUGUCAUUAAUUUGGUGUCUUGGGGAAUCAGGACUGUUACUUUGAAAAAAUUAGAGUGUUUAAAGCAGGCUCACGCUUGAAUACAUUAGCAUGGAAUAAUGAAAUAGGACGUUUGAUUCUAUUUUGUUGGUUUCUAGGAUCGACGUAAUGAUUAAUAGGGAUAGUUGGGGGCAUUAGUAUUCAAUUGUCAGAGGUGAAAUUCUUGGAUUUAUUGAAGACUAACUACUGCGAAAGCAUUUGCCAAGGAUGUUUUCAUUAAUCAAGAACGAAAGUUAGGGGAUCGAAGACGAUCAGAUACCGUCGUAGUCUUAACCAUAAACUAUGCCGACUAGGGAUCGGAUGAUGUUAAUUUUUUAAUGACUCAUUCGGCGUCCUUA
rnacentral:rRNA from 1 species